rnacentral:pre_miRNA from 1 species
UAAAUAUUUGAUAUGUACUCCCUUCAUUCCAAAUUAUAAGAUGUUUUGGCUUUUUUAGAUACAUUGCUGUUAUUAUGUAUCAAGACAGCGUAUAUCUAAGUGCAUAGCAAUAGCUAUGUGUCUAGAUAAGACAAAACGUCUUAUAAUUUGGAGCGGAAGGAGUAUGAAGCUGUAUAUUUG